GGCUCGGUGGCGGAGUGGCGACGCGGGGACCGUGCAUGGUCCCAAAGCCUGGUUCAAAUCCAGGCCGAGCCUCCA
rnacentral:tRNA from 1 species